AUGGACGCCGUGGACUCCGUGGUCGACCCGCUCCGGGAGUUCGCCAAGGACAGCGUCCGCCUCGUCAAGCGCUGCCACAAGCCCGACCGAAAGGAUCUGACGCCGUAUGGUUUUCUGGCGUGUGUAGAGUUCACCAAGGUGGCCAUUCGGACGGCCAUCGGGUUCGUCGUCAUGGGCUUCGUCGGGUUCUUCGUCAAGCUCAUCUUCAUCCCCAUCAACAACAUCAUCGUCGGGUCCGGCUGA
rnacentral:rRNA from 1 species